UUCACCUAAAUCUUAAUAUUAGAAUAACCAUCUAUACAUCUAGUAAAAUGAACAUUCGAUAUAUCCAUUAUUCACAUUGUUUAAUAUUUUCAUUGUUUACUUAUACUUUUCUAUAACUAAAUUACGUUGACAUAUACGUUGUUAGGUUCAUCGAGAUGGACAACAGAGUACGGACCAUUAUGAGGACAGCUUUGUUGGACAUCAUAUGACGGUCCCCAGCUCCAGGCAAUGUGUCACGACUGGUUGAGGAGUUGUCGGGAGGUUUACACGUGGAGGAUAGUGGUAUAGUCUAUUUUUAAUAUAUAAAAGUAGAUACAUAAGUAUGUACCACAUUACUUUUGAGAUAUUUAUUUCCUCCUACUAAUGCCAUGUCAGCAAUAUUUCUUACUUA